rnacentral:rRNA from 1 species
GUCUACGGCCAUGCCACCCUGAAUAAGCCUGAUCUUGGAAGCUAAGCAGGGUCGGGCCUGGUUAGUACUUGGAUGGGAGACCACCUAGGAAGACCAGGUGCUGUAGGCA